rnacentral:rRNA from 1 species
AUUGAACGCUGGCGGCAUGCUUUACACAUGCAAGUCGAACGGCAGCACGGACUUCGGUCUGGUGGCGAGUGGCGAACGGGUGAGUAAUACAUCGGAACGUGCCCAGUUGUGGGGGAUAACUACUCGAAAGGGUAGCUAAUACCGCAUGAGAACUGAGGUUGAAAGCAGGGGAUCGUAAGACCUUGCGCAACUGGAGCGGCCGAUGGCAGAUUAGGUAGUUGGGGGGAUAAAAGCUUACCAAGCCGACGAUCUGUAGCUGGUCUGAGAGGACGACCAGCCACACUGGGACUGAGACACGGCCCAGACUCCUACGGGAGGCAGCAGUGGGGAAUUUUGGACAAUGGGCGAAAGCCUGAUUCAGCAAUGCCGCGUGCAGGAUGAAGGCCUUCGGGUUGUAAACUGCUUUUGUACGGAACGAAAAGCUUCGGGUUAAUACCCUGGAGUCAUGACGGUACCGUAAGAAUAAGCACCGGCUAACUACGUGCCAGCAGCCGCGGUAA